rnacentral:rRNA from 1 species
UACAGAGGUGGCAAGCGUUGUUCGGAAUUACUGGGCGUAAAGCGUGUGUAGGCGGCUAUGUAAGUCGGAUGUGAAAGCCCCGGGCUCAACCCGGGAAGUGCACUCGAUACUGCGUAGCUUGAGUCUCGGAGAGGUUGGUGGAAUUCUCGGUGUAGAGGUGAAAUUCGUAGAUAUCGAGAGGAACACCGGUGGCGAAGGCGGCCAACUGGACGAAGACUGACGCUGAGACACGAAAGCGUGGGGAGCAAACAGG